GUGUAGCGAAAUGCUUGUGCUUCUAGUUCCGACCAUGCAGUAGUAUAACAAAAUACUGCAUAGUUUCCUAGGAACGCGAAGCAAGGCGGCCAUCUCUGUCGGCGCCGGAAGUCAGAAGGAUUUGUUAGACCGCUGCACCACUCAUGGCUUAAGGUAAUGAUGGACUGUCGUUUCUCUUUGCUUAUUUGAGCUGUUCUUGCCAUAAUAUGGACUUGGUCUUUUACCAAAUAGGGAUAUCUUCUGUAUUCCACCCUUACAUUGUCACAACAACUUAUUGGCUCAAGUGAGUUAGGAAGGAAAAAAAAUCCACAAAUGAACUUUUAAUCAGGCCCACCUGUUAUUUGAAAUGCACUCCAGGUGACUACCCCAUGAAGCUGGUUGAGAUAAUGCCAAGUGUGCAAAGCUGUCAAGGCAAUGACUGGCUACUGUGAAGAACAUAAAAUAAAUAUAUUUGUUUUAAUACUUUUUUUGGUUACUACAUGAUUCCAUGAGUGUUAUAUCAGUUUUGAUGUCUUCAUUAUUCUACAAUGUAGAAAAUAGUACAAAUAAAGAAACCCUUGAAUGAGUAGGCGUGCCCAAACUUUUGAAUGGUAUUGUCUAUGUAUAUUUGUGUGUAUGUGAUCUGGUGGUGAGAGGAGCUAUAGGACGGGCUCAUUGCUACUGGAAUGGAAUGUGGUUUAUCGUGGUUUCCGUAUGUUUGAUACUGUUCCAUUCCAGCCAAUACAAUGACCCUGUCCUCCUAUAGCUCCUCCCACCAGUCUCCACUGAUGUAAUCCUUGAGUUUAUUUGAUCUGGGUCAAUCAUCAGAUAAAAUCACUAAAUCUAACCCAGUCUUCCAUCCAAGUCUGGGAGGGAAUAUUAUUCAACUUGAUUGAUGUUGCAGUCUCUAAUGUUUUUGGCUGCAUAUUGUGUAUCUUUUUUAAUUUAGUGCUGACAUCCCUCUUCACACUAACGAUGAGAUUGUGUUUUUCUCCAGGCUUUGCAAUAGGAGUGCCCUGGGCGGUCUCAUGUUUUCAUAGUAAAUUGACUACAAAGAUGGCACUGGAUUCCUUGUGAAACUACAGUACAAAUGUAUAGGAGCAUUUCCUAUCCCUUUGUCCAAUGACAAGUGUUUGUGGAAAACACUACAAAAAUUUGCAGUACAUCCGACUAGCCUCUGCAGACCAUGUGUAACCACGCCAGCCCAGGACCUCCACGUCCGGCUUCUUCACCUGCA
ensembl:lncRNA